UACAGAGGGGGCAAGCGUUGUUCGGAAUCACUGGGCGUAAAGCGCACGUAGGCGGCUUUUUAAGUCAGGGGUGAAAUCCUGGAGCUCAACUCCAGAACUGCCUUUGAUACUGAGAAGCUUGAGUCCGGGAGAGGUGAGUGGAACUGCGAGUGUAGAGGUGAAAUUCGUAGAUAUUCGCAAGAACACCAGUGGCGAAGGCGGCUCACUGGCCCGGUACUGACGCUGAGGUGCGAAAGCGUGGGGAGCAAACAGG
rnacentral:rRNA from 1 species